UUUUUUUUUUUUUGGAUUUCCCUGUCUGGGUUGACUUCUGGUCGCUCUGCCCCGUGUUCUAGUCUUGGGUCGAUACCUGAUGUUAUUGAUUUUCUAACCAAAGAACUCCCUUUAGUAUUUAUUAUAGUUUUGGUUUGGUUUUUAUGAAUUCCCUCAAGUUGUGUUUAUCUGGAAAUGUCUUAAUUUCACCUUCAUUUAAGAGGCAGUUUUGAUGGGUAUAUGAUUUUCGGCAGGCAAUUUUUUUCCUUCAGUUUUUUAAAUAUGUCAUUCCAUUGCCUUCUUGCCUGCAUGGUUUCUGCCGAGUAGUCUGAGAAUUUUCCUAUUGGCUCUCCCUUGUAGGUGACUUUUCUUUUAUCCCUUGCUGCUCUUAUAAUUGUCUCUUUAUCUUUGUUUUUGGCAAGCUAGGCGACUUUCUUUUAAGAUCUACCUUAUGUGGAGUUUCAUGAGAAUCUCGGAUAGAUAUCUUCUCAUCUUUCACACUAUCGGGGAAGUUUUCUGGCAACAAAUCCUCAACAAUUUUCUCUGCAUUUUCUGUUCUCCCUCCCUGUUCUGGUACUCCAAUCAGUCGUAGGUCAUUUCUCUUGAUAGAGUCCCCCAUGAUUCUUAAGGUUUCUUCAUUUUUAAAAAUUCUUUUAUCUGAUUUUUCUUCAAAUAUAUUAGUGCCAAGUGAUUUAUCUUCAAGUUCAGAAAUUCUAGCUUCUACUUGCUCACUUGUGCUCCUGUGACUUUCGAUUGAGUUAUCUAAUUCUGUAAUUUUAUUGUUAAUCUUCUGAAUUUCUGAUUGCUGUCUGUCUACGGAUUUUUCCAGCUUAUUAAACUUUUCAUUAUAUUCCUGAAUAAUCUUUCUGAUUUCUUCUGUUGCUUUUUUUGUGUGUUCCUUGGCUUGUUCUGCAUAUUGCCUCAUUUCCUUCCUGAUGCCUUGAAAGGUUCUUUUGUGUGCUGCAUCUGGUAAUUCCAGGGAUGCACUUUCAUCUAAAAGAUCCCUGGAUUCUUUGUUUUGAGAGCCUGUUGAGGUGAUCAUGGCCUGUUUCUUUAUGUGACUUGAUAUUGACUGUUGUCUCCGAGCUAUGUAUAAGUUAUUGUAUUAGUUUAUGGUUGCUUACUGUGUCGUAGCUGCUUGCUUUGUUUUGUUUUGUUUUGGUAUACCCCUAUGGGUUGCCUGAGUGAGUAGCUGGAUUAUUUUCUCCUUUGCAGCUCUGGUGUCCUGUCCUUAGCUGGGUAGAGGUGUUAUCAGGUAUAUCAGUCUAGUAGUCCAUUCAGUUUUCUUGUAUGAAUUCAGCUCAGGUUUCCAGGUAGCUGAUAUCAAGUGUGUGGUACAGGCUCUGUCCUACAGUCUGAGAGGGGCAGGGGUGAUUGGCGUAUAUACCGGUAUCUGAUUGUAGCAGAGGGUCAUGCUCUGAACAAGGCAGGGGACUGAAAACUGACCCCCAAGUGUCCCUGAGGAAAAUGUGUCUCUGUUCCCUAGAGCGCGGUGGUGGAUGGGCUCUGCAGAGGGACCACGGGCACCCGAAGUUUUUGGUGUAAGGACUGGUAGGUAGCAGUUUUCCCUGGACGAGUGUCCCGCGUGGCUGGGCAACCCAAGUGGAGCCAGCAGUCAUCAGGACCCUGUUCUGGGUAGGUGAGGAUUUUGUUUCAUAGGCAAAGCAAUAUCAAACGUCAAAUACCCAGCUGUCCACCGCACCGCUAAAAUGGUUGGAGUUUGCCUACAAGGGCCUUUUCUCCUGAAAUAAGCCCAAACAGGUCCAUGCAGAAGGGAAAGGUGCUCAGGGUCCACGGAUGGUUUAUACCUGGACAGGAGCCGCUUCUGUCCUGAACUUCCCCAGUUAAUGGAGGUAGCAAAUUAUCUUUUCCCCCCAGAUACAAAUUUUUUCCUUCCAUAAGGCCAGGAGGACGACUCCAGGUGCUCAUCAGGGUCUAUCUCAGGCCCCGGAAUUCGGCUGCUGAAGCUGGGUUGGGGGUGGGGGUGGGGUGGUAAAAUAUACUCAAGUAGUUACCUUUUGCCGAGAGUGCCCUUCUCCGUAGGUUCCGGAGGUGUGAGCAGGCUGUGUGGCCCGCUGCUUCUCUCUGAAGGAACUGCAUCUGAAUGCUGGGUCCAGCCGUCCACCGCCGCUGCCACCGCCGUAGCCGCUCUGGGAAUGUUGCCUGAGGGCUCCCCGUGAUUCACGUCCGAACUCUUCAAGGGAGAAGAGUACGAUGGACUUCCCAGUGGAUAUGUGGAGCCUGGGAGUCAUCUUGUAUUUGUUGUACUGUUCCAGGGAAAAGAGUACGACGGACGUCCAAGUGGAUAUGUGGAGCCUGGGAGUCAUGUUGUAUUUGUUGGUGAGUGGAUCGCUGCCUUUUGUUGGAAAUACCUUCACGGAGCUGUGGGAGUGUUUUCUGUGAAAUUGUUUGAAGUCAUCAAGAAUGAGAACACACUCCAUAUACUGUUGGAAUAAGUAAGUGGAAGGGAGGUUUCUCAUCAUGCAAGGGCUCAUGGCAGGAUGAGGGAAAAAGGGGCUCAAGCCACCAAAUUCUGCCAGAUAGUGUCCGUGGUGUAGGACUGUCAUAACAAGUGUAUGGUUCAGAGGGACCUGAAAACAGGAAACCUGGUAUUGGAUAAGAAAAUGAACAGCAAACUUUCAGGUCUUGAUCUUGGAAAUGAAUUCAGCCCGGGCAACAAGCUGUAAACAUCCUCUGGCAGUCUCCCUUCCUUUAUUCUGCCAUAGAACUCUUCAGGGAGAAAAGUAUGACAGACCCCCCAGUGGAUGUGUUGAGCCUGGGAGUCAUCUUGUAUUUGUGGGUGGGUGGAUCUUUGCCUCUUGUUGGAAAUACCUUCAUGAUGCUAUGGCAGGAUGUAGUGAAGGGACUUUCCCCCACAUAUAUCUCUGUAGUAUGAACACCUGCUGAGCAAAAUUUUCAUUCAUGACCCCAGUGAGAGAGGUACUUUAGAGGCAAUUCUGACACAUCCGUGGAUGAUGGUGGGUCAUGAAGAACAAAAGCUGUAUGUGGAACCACUCCCAGAUUUCAGUGACGCCCAGUGGAUUGAGGUUAUUUGCUACACAUGGCAAGAGAUUCAGUGCUUAUGGAUGUUGCCAAAGUACAGUGUUGUGAUAGUCACCUAUCUGCUCCUGGGUCAUAAGACACCUGAGACAGAGGGCCAUAGCAGCCUGCAGUGGAUCUUCAUCCCAUGGUGUACAGUGUACCCUCUUGUGUUAACCCAAGCAGAGGAGGUACAGCGAGCCUACCAUUCCGACACAUCUAGUGCUGCUAUAAUUUCCAGAAGUGGAUGGCUUUAACAAAGAGAAAUUUUUUUCUUCAUGGUAUAGUAGACUAAAAGUCCAAAUUCAGGGUGUCAGCUCCAGGAGAAGGCUUUCUUUCUCUGUCAGUCAUCUCAUCAAUUUUCCCCUGAUAGAGGAGCAUCUCAGGUGCAGGGACACUGGGUCCAAAGGAUGCGCUUCGCUCCUGUUGCUGCUUUAUUGGUGGCGUGAGGUCCCCAAAUCUCCGCUUGCUUCCCUUUCCUUUUUAUCUCUUGAGACAUAAGAGGUGGUACAGACCACACCCCAGGGUAACUUCUUUUACAUUGGAUCUGGGACGUGACCUGGGUAAGGGUGGCGUUACCAUCCUAUCCUAAUCUUGUUUAAGAUAAAAUUACAAUCCCAGAAUAGAGGAGGAGCACAGGAUACGGGGAAUCAUGACCCAGCUAAUGCGAUACACACAUUUUGCGGGGAGGAUAUAAUUUAUUCCAUGAGGCCUACCUAAGAUUCCUCCUGCAAUUAUGCCAAAAAAUAAGUGGCCUGAGGAGGACCAGGAGUCAGGGCAGAAGAGGAGUAGCACAACAACACACCUGUCAGCUCUCUACCCAUCCUGGAGAGAAAGAAGGCCAGUCCUGUGCCCUCUGUGAACAGCAACGUCUCCACCAACAAACAGGAAAGUGGGAAUUCGACACCUUUAGUGAAGACCAGCCUUGGGCAGGGCAACAUCCACAAUGCUUUGGAUAGUCUAUCUGACUCAGUUUCAGGGGCCUCCAUGGCAUCUGCUUGUACCUCAGUCUCCCUAGCCCAGUCCUACCUGCAACAGGAAUCCAGGACAGACUCGGUGCAGCCCAACCAGGACUCUGGAGUGUGCUCCAGGGUGAGCAACAGUGACGUGGUACAGUUUAGAACAUCUUCCCAGUGUGUCUGUGAGGCUUCCUCUUCAUCCCACACCAUCAGCAGCAGCGGUGGAGCCCAGAGGGAACUGGUUUCCUCCAGGGAGUGUCAAAACUAAGCUCCUUGCAUGUGGACAAGCUGCAAGAGAUUGUUGACCAGCCGAGUUUGCCUCAGAUUGUGAGCCCAGCCUCUCCCUGUGUCAGCAGCCAGGGAUGGCAGGGUUCCACUGAGAUUUAUUCAGUUUUAUUUGCAGAAAUACAUGUCUUGUUUUGCCAGCUCAGCCUCACAUUUUCUAACUCACUGUAAGUGGCUAGAAGGAAAAGGAAGAGGUAUUGGGAAUGAUGUAGAAAUUGAUAAUGGGGGUCCAUUGAUUCAGCUGGAGAAUAAAUUGGGAAAAUGACUUUGGACAGCCUUAAGUGAUUGGAACUCAAUAUAUGAAACGCCCCCGCAUCACUUUGGCAAGCUCUUGCUCUUUCUUAAGCUGCACUAUAUAUUUUUCACAAUAUAAAUCCUGUCAGCAAUGUCUGCCCUUAGAAGUAUUGGCCUAUUUUCCUACUAAUUGUAAUGCUCUCUCUCCCCCACCAGUACAAGCCCUUUUACUGAGGCAAAAAUGAAUCCCACUAAGUGAUCAAGGGCAGUGUUCACUAAUCAGUGUAUGCAAGGAAGACAAUGUACAUGGUAUAAAUUAGGUGGCCCAAAGCAUGUCUGAAAAAAUCAGGAACUGCAACUAGCUUUGAAGUUCUUCCCUAAUCUAAUCUUCUCAUACUGUCAAAACACAAGGUUUUUUUUAUUUUUGAUAAUAGUCAAUAUUUGUAUGU